GGCGAACGCUGGCGGCGUGCCUAAUACAUGCAAGUUGAGCGCUGAAGGUUGGUACUUGUACCAACUGGAUGAGCAGCGAACGGGUGAGUAACGCGUGGGGAAUCUGCCUUUGAGCGGGGGACAACAUUUGGAAACGAAUGCUAAUACCGCAUAAAAACUUUAAACACAAGUUUUAAGUUUGAAAGAUGCAAUUGCAUCACUCAAAGAUGAUCCCGCGUUGUAUUAGCUAGUUGGUGAGGUAAAGGCUCACCAAGGCGAUGAUACAUAGCCGACCUGAGAGGGUGAUCGGCUACAUUGGGACUGAGACACGGCCCAAACUCCUACGGGAGGCAGCAGUAGGGAAUCUUCGGCAAUGGACGAAAGUCUGACCGAGCAACGCCGCGUGAGUGAAGAAGGUUUUCGGAUCGUAAAACUCUGUUGGUAGAGAAGAACGUUGGUGAGAGUGGAAAGCUCAUCAAGUGACGGUAACUACCCAGAAAGGGACGGCUAACUACGUG
rnacentral:rRNA from 1 species